GAUAGAAUCAUAAAUAUUACACCAUAACCACUGCUAACAGAUCCCAAACAUCAAAACAUCAAAAACUUUUCACUUUGACAGUACUGAAGUUGCAUCAUAAACAAUAGCAAAAUAAUUCAUCAUCAACUUCAUGGUUAGUUAAGAUUACCACCAAUAAACAAGUAGGAACCAAUCAACAAAGUAUGAAGUUAUCGGGAAAAUGAUGACAGUAGAGAAAGGUAUUGGAAAAGCAUAAAUAAUUGAUUUUCGUAGCAUCAGCUAUCACGGCUCUGACAUUCACAUUUCACAGAAUAACAUUGUUUCAUAAUUGACUUAACAUAGGUUCAUGCUUUUAUUGUUUUAGAAUUGACUUAACAUAGGUUCUUGCUUCGAUAUUUAGACUUCGAAUAAGAACACUAACAUUUCCAUUAAGACAAGCAGAAUGAUAGUGCUUUUAAUUAACAUGUACUGAAACCUUUGCAUAUAAAAUAUUCAAAGGAGCAUGUGUCAACUGCACAUACCAGCAGACUGUCAAGUUGAGAGAAAGUCGUAUCCCAAAUUAACCAAACCAUUGAAACUGAAAGAAUAAGCAAAAAGACAAGACUUGCAAAUUCAUUUGCAAUUCUGCAUGCCAAACAACUUAAAAAGACACAGAGGAAGCACUCACUUGCACUAGAGGUCUAGGACAUGGUCUCCCAUUGCCAUCCAUUUGUCGUUUGAGAUUAAGCUGUAAUUUCCCAACUUUCCAAGCUGAUAUGGUAUGCGUCUCUAAUUCUUCCUCCGUUAAAUUUGAUCCAUUAGUCCCCAACUGAAUAUUAACAGGCUAUACUCAUUAUGCAAACUCAAUGAGGGUAACAUGCGCAAAAAGAAAAACAUCUCCAAUGUGAUUUAUGAAGACAAGCACAAUGCAUGUUCACUUUGUGAUUUGUGUGAAUUUCUAGAUUGUGCAUGGAGGUGUCUGUACAUGCAUCAGCGUGUGUGAAAAAUUAGAAAACAAAAACAUGGAGAAGCAAACGUUCUGGAGACCAUGAACAAAAAAGAACAUAAAAGGCGAAUACAUAUUUUUCUCUAAAAGAAAUUUGGCAAGGCUGAUUGGCCACGAAAACCCAACUGAAAACUGUGGUGCCAAUGGAACCCAUGGACCAUGGAUAGUUGGAUAUACUAUCUUACACACAGAACCCUGUCAAAACUCAUAAUGCCAAAAUGACAACCAGUGGUUGGGGAAGAGCACAACCAAGUGAAACUUAGAAGGUUUUAAGGUUUUUUCAAGCAUGUGUCACUCUUAAAAUGGUUUUACGACCACUUUCUCAUUUUUGAACUUGAGGCAGACUCCCCACUGCCUGCACCAACAAGUUGGAAAGAGGCAGAGAAAAGCAUUUUUCUACUAAGAAACUUCAUUGCUGGCUAGGUUGCUUAUGGCUAAUGAAAUUCUGUCUACAUAGCAUAUCCUGACACCUUUCAACAGAUGCAAAAUUGUUGUCCCUGGUUAUCUGAAAAUUUGGUUAUAAUAAAAUCCUCACAAUGUUUCCAUUCUGAAUCAUUUUUCCUUUUGAAUCAUAAAUUAAAGCUAUCCUUGUAAUGCAGCAACCUUAUAAUUUGGAAGAAAGUCGAAAAGUUUAUUCCAGACACACCUCUCUCAGAAUCAGGAUGAAGUCCAAUGCACUAAGAACCCCAACAAAACGGCCCUUGAAGUCAUCCCAAAGAGGGACCAUCGGAAGUCCCUGCAACACAUAAAUCACAAGCUGACGAUAAGAAUUAACACGAACCCUGUCUUCUUAGACAAACCGAACAGAUUAUUACCCAAAAAAAAGUUCCAGUUAGAAAAAGGAAAUGAGGCACUUGCAUACAAACUUAUAAAUUCUCUCCUCAUAAGUGUGGAACAGCUGGGUGUGAACAAGCAUGUGGCAAUAAAAGAGAUUCACCUGCUCAUAGAGAACAUGAAAUGCUUGCUUCACAGCUAAAUUGACAUCCAAGGCAGUGACCUGCAACAUUACAUGAGUGAUCCUCACCAAAAGUCUAAAAGAACAUAAAUGUUCAAACCCAAAAAUGUAUUGUAUUGGCAGCUCAUAUAGAAGGGAAAGCAUUCAAACCUUGCCUGAGUCAGGAAGGAGCUCGUAUACUGUAUGUGUGGACAAGAAUGAAGAUAUACGAUCACGAGAAAGCUGUAAAUCAGCCUCUGAGUAUUGUGCAAAACCUUCCUGCAAGUACCACUUGACAAUGUGACCUAUUUGUAUCCAGCAGGAUAAUGGAGGGGCACGAUGAUAAUAAAACUUCUACAAAACUCUAUAUUCCCUAGUGUUGUAAGCCUUUCCAAUUAGUGCAAAUUAAUACCGAAAAAAAAGGCCACUUCCAAAAGCUUAAAUAUGAGCUUAACAUUUAAAAACUUAGCAGCUAAAUAUCAUCUCCAGGGCUCUCAAUUCUUCAAGUAUCUUACAAAAGUUCGAUCCAGGUAGUCUUCUCUGAAUGUGGUCUUAACAUUUAUCAUACGGCACCAAGCAGUCUCUCUUAAGACAAACAUGAGCACCUAGAAUUGGCAACUCACAAAGUUCAAUAUUAAAUACGAAAAGUGUUCCCUCUGUCUUCAUAUAUGCACAUCUAUCCUACAUUUAGAUAUUUUAAAAUGUCUGGGUCAUAUCCCUUCAGCAAAGCCUAUCAUAUUUAUCCAAAAAUCCUACAGAAACGGAAACUUAAUCAGCUAGCUUACUGAAGAUAGAAGACCCCAUGCUUAAAAAAGAAACACAUGGUACCACGAGUUAGUGAGGAUAAGAUGUCAAGAACUAUGGGUUUGAUGACAAGCCAGCAAUUAAGUUAUUCAUUAGGUGAGAGAGACCCUUACCGGACGCAUAACAACAUCAUCUACCUCCAUGUUACCAGAAGUCUCAGGGCUGAUGGUGUUAGGAACCAUAUCUGGUUGUGGCACAGCUAUAUAUACACAAUUCACUACACCAUAAUUCCCGCUCACAUGGGGCUGGUUCUCAUCAUGCCGCCAUUCUCCAUCAACAUAGAACUUGUACUACAUGGAAAGGGACGUAAGCAUCUAAACAUCAGUAACAAAGUCCAAACAGACUUUUACCAUGAACCUUAAUAUGAUAGGUUUUAGAGAACAAUCUAAAACUACACAAUGAACAUUUAUGGAAUGCAUAUUGACAUGCUAUAAUCACAAAACAAAGAAAAAGAAAUGGAAACCAAAAAUAAAGGUGAAUAAUACUAUAGUUCAGCAUACAACCAUAAGAGUCAAUUAACCUGGUGAUGCCCAGGUGGCAACCUGCAAAUGAUUUGAAAAACAGCAGGACAUCCUUCAGAUGGGGACAUAGGCAUAGGCUCUGACCACCUGUGCAUGCAUUAACAUUUUAAUCAGAACCCAUACCACAUACCCAUUUGUAUGAUUCAAAUCCCACAAACUAAAGAAAAACACCAAAUUUGAACUUCCCAAUAACUAAACAGCUAAUGACAAAUUCAAAACGAUCAAGGAUUCAUAUUUGGGCCUUCAUUCACUUACCUGGUGAACGAGCCACUGAGUGAAACUCUCCUCCCCCCAUUAGGCCAAAUAAACCGGACCGGAACCAAGAUUGAACCCACUACCCCACUGUUUUCGUGACCAGUAUUCAGACCAGAAUUAUACAUUUCCUUCCAAAGUUAUAUAAAUACUUAUGCACACAAAUUCUAGUACCAAAUCACCAAAUGAAAAUUUCAAAGCCACCCUACUUGAUUUUCUUCUACAUAAAUACUAACCAAUUAUAGUACUCCUUCAGCUCAUCCUCCAAACAAAAUAAAAUUUGGCUGCUUUUGUGCCUUUUUUUAUUUUGGGAUAAAAAACUAUGCAAGCAGGGAUCCUCUACAGGUGAGCAGAGGACCCCUCAACGUUUACACAUGCAGAGUCACCUAAUCAAAAAAAUCCAAAAUUAUCAAGAACCAAGGGAAAAAAAUAAAUAAAUCUCUUAUGACAAGCUUAAAUUGAGCAGCAAAGCACUCAGCUUUGAUCCCAAAAUUGCAGAAUUCACCACAUGCAAUAUCAAAUAAAUCCACUAACACUCAAUCUCAGCCAAACCAAUCAACAACUCAACCCAAUAGUCAAACAAAUCAGACUGCCCGCCAAAACCCCCAAAUAGAAUCCUUACAACUCGUAAAUCACACACAAUUCGUGCUCUGAUCUGUCCCAGAAAGAGAUAUUUACACCACUUCUCAACUGAAUCGAAUAUUGAAUACCUAAAAUUCAACUAAAUUCGGGGUUGACAAACCACAAGGGGUGAAAAUUUGUGCCCUAAUUUGACAAAAAAGAAAACAAAAGUAAAAACCCUAAAUUUAAUUGACAGAGAGAAAGGGGUUAGAUGAAAUUGGGGCAAUGUUAGUUGGAUCUUAAAAGAUUUUAAAGAACCCUAAGAAUGAAAAACGAAAAGGGAAAGAGAAGAGAACAGAACGCGAGGCAAAAGUUAGUAAGAAAAUAAAAAGCAAAUAAUGGUAACAACAAUAACUGGGAUUAGCAGUAAAAUUUUGGCUGGUGAAAUUGUGAUGUAUACGUACUGUAUUAUUUGUACCGUACGUAUUGAUUGGCUACUUUUGAUUUUAAGAGUAUAUAUAAAUUGAAAAAUGAAAUACU
rnacentral:lncRNA from 1 species